GGGUGGUAAUGCCGGAUGUUCCACAUGAUCGCAUGUGAUUGUGGGAAAGAUUCUAUCGGCGUGGGAUGGGGUCGCGUCCUAUCAGCUUGUUGGUGAGGUAACGGCUCACCAAGGCUUCGACGGGUAGCCGGCCUGAGAGGGCGACCGGCCACAUUGGGACUGAGAUACGGCCCAGACUCCUACGGGAGGCAGCAGUGGGGAAUAUUGCACAAUGGGCGCAAGCCUGAUGCAGCGACGCCGCGUGAGGGAUGGAGGCCUUCGGGUUGUAAACCUCUUUUGUUUGGGAGCAAGCCUUCGGGUGAGUGUACCUUUCGAAUAAGCGCCGGCUAACUACGUGCCAGCAGCCGCGGUAAUACGUAGGGCGCAAGCGUUAUCCGGAUUUAUUGGGCGUAAAGGGCUCGUAGGCGGCUCGUCGCGUCCGGUGUGAAAGUCCAUCGCUUAACGGUGGAUCUGCGCCGGGUACGGGCGGGCUGGAGUGCGGUAGGGGAGACUGGAAUUCCCGGUGUAACGGUGGAAUGUGUAGAUAU
rnacentral:rRNA from 1 species